AGAGAUGUGUGAUGACGCAUAUCAAUAAGCGGAGGAAAAGAAACUAACAAGGAUUCCCUUAGUAACGGCGAGUGAAGCGGGAAGAGCUCAAAUUUGAAAUCUUCAAGGUUCUACCUUGACGAAUUGUAGUUUAUAGAAGUGUUUUCUGUUAGUAGAGUGGCAAAAGUUCUUUGGAAUAGGACAUCAUAGAGGGUGAGAAUCCCGUAUUUGGUCAUUCCUUCUAGCUUUGUGAUACACUUUCAACGAGUCGGAUUGUUUGGGAAUGCAGUCCAAAAUGGGUGGUAAAUUUCAUCUAAAGCUAAAUAUUGGCGAGAGACCGAUAGCGAACAAGUACCGUGAGGGAAAGAUGAAAAGAACUUUGAAAAGAGAGUUAAACAGUACGUGAAAUUGUCAAAAGGGAAGCGUUUGACACCAGUGUUGUUUUUCCGAAAAUCAAUUACGAAUGUUUUAUUUUUGAGGAGUUAUGACUUCAUCGGCUUGCUUCCUCUCUUUACUGAAACUCUCUUAAUGCACUUUUCGGUUAACAAGUCAACAUCAAUUUCUUUUGUUGUAAAAGAGUAUGAGGAAGGUGGCUUUCUUUUCGGAGAAAGUGUUUAUAGCCUUGUACCUCUGCAAUCGGAGAGAUUGAGGUCUGCAGCGUUAGAUCCUUCGGGGUUAGAUACAUCUGUGCUAAGUUAUAGCUUUUCAUAGACAACUUGUUGACUAUGUUAAGUCUUGUAGCUUACUCGCUUAUGCUAUUUUACCUACGCUUAGGAUGUUGAGUAGCGACAUACGCAC
rnacentral:rRNA from 1 species